rnacentral:rRNA from 1 species
GAAUUGAGGGGGGCUGCUCCUAGUACGAGAGGACCGGAGUGGACGCAUCACUGGUGUUCGGGUUGUCAUGCCAAUGGCACUGCCCGGUAGCUAAAUGCGGAAGAGAUAAGUGCUGAAAGCAUCUAAGCACGAAACUUGCCCCGAGAUGAGUUCUCCCUGAGACUAUAAGUCUCCUGAAGGAACGUURAAGACGAYGACGUUGAUAGGCCGGGUGUGUAAGCGCAGCGAUGCGUUGAGCUAACCGGUACUAAUGAACCGUGAGGCUUAACCUUACAACGCCGAAG